CCUACGGGUGGCAGCAGUGGGGGAUAUUGCACAAUGGGGGGAACCCUGAUGCAGCGACGCCGCGUGAGUGAAGAAGUACCUCGGCGCGUAAAGCUCUAUCAGCAGGGAAGAAAAUGACGGUACCUGAAGAAGAAGCCACGGCUAACUACGUGCCAGCAGCCGCGGUAAUACGUAGGGGGCAAGCGUUAUCCGGAUUUACUGGGUGGAAAGGGGGCGUAGACGGCGAUGCAAGCCUGGAGUGAAAGCCCCGGGCCUAACCCCGGGACUGCUGUGGAAACUGCGCGGCUGGAGUGCAGGAGAGGCAAGCGGAAUUCCUGGUGUAGCGGUGAAAUGCGUAGAUAUCAGGAGGAACACCGGUGGCGAAGGCGGCCUGCUGGACUGCAACUGACGUUGAGGCCCGAAAGCGUGGGGAGCAAACAGGAUUAGAUACCCCGGUAGUC
rnacentral:rRNA from 1 species